CCUUAUGCCAUACGAGUGAAUAUGUUAUCCAUGGCUGAAAAUAUAAAGGGCGCGAAAGUUUAGAUAGAAAGUCGUUUUUGAGGUUUGACAUAGUGCUCUGUAUUUUGAAGAUGAGUAAUAAUUUCAGAAUUGAACAGAAACAGCCGAAGAUAACAAGUGUAAAACUUAGACGUGAACUUACAGCAGCGCUUAUGCAGACGGAGCGUAGAAACAAACGGGAUAAUAUUUUUAAUAAGCAGAGACUGGCUGGUAGUGAAGAAGAAACAGAAUCAACGGAAAGGCCUGUGAAAGAUGUUCGUGCGAGACAGCUGGAGGCUUGGAAAAGGACCAGAGAGGAAGCCAAAAAGAAAAAUAAAACAAAGAGAAAGCCAUUUAUUGUGACUCAUGUUCGUCAUAACAUUGGGUCACCUUACAAAACAAGGUCACCUUUUAGAACGGAUGCUCUGCUUAAAACAAAGACAUCGAAGAAGCUGGAUAUUCUACCAGAAAAACCAGCUACCGCUGCUGUACGUGUAACACGGUCUAUGAGUAGAACAGCAAAAUUAAAUCAAACUGCUACUAUCCAGAAGAAAAAUGAGCUGCCUAAACUUGCACCAAAUAAUUUUAAAUUCAAGGCACCCAAAGGCAUUGCACCGCUCCCCAUGUCCAGUCAUAAGCAGAAAACAGAUUUGAAGAUAACACUAACACCAUGUUCUGUGAAUGUGGAGAAAAUAGGUGAGCAAAAGGAAACUGCCUCUACACCACUCAUCAUUACAAAGAGAAGUGGUAGGAAAGGAAGUACAAAAGAGACAUCAUCAUCAUCAUCAUCUACAAAGCUAUGUGAAAAUCCAUUGUCGAGUAAAAGGAAACUAGAUUAUAAUACAUCGGACCCAAAUAAGGAACCACUAGUUGCAGAAGCUGUGCCUUCUGAUAAAAAAACAGAUGUUUCACAAUACAGGAAGGAACUGAACACUGUGAUAGAACAGUUGGAGACUUUAUGUAGUAAAUGGUCAUUUACUCAAGAACAGUCGGCCAUUUUACCAAAUGAGGUUAAUGAUAUGGUGGAUGUUGCCACUGGACAAACCAAACUACUCAUCAAAGAAAAGCUUGCACAGUACAGAGGGCUUAUUGAUGAAUGUGAAAAAAAUAGUGGGCCUGUAAGAGUGACAGAAUCAGAUUUGCAAGGUUUCUGGGAAAUGGUAAAUCUACAGGUUCAAAAUGUAAUUUCCAAAUUUGAAGAGCUGGAUGUCCUGAAAGACAAUAACUGGACAGAACCCAAAAAACAACACUCAUCUCCACUGAAGAAGAAAAAAGGUGUAACCAAAAUAUCUAAAACAAAACAAGUAGCUUCAAAGUCAUCUGUUCGAGAUCACAUUGCAGCUUUAAGGCGUGCAAAGGCUGCAAUGCAGUGCAGUGAACCAAAAGAUCCAAACAUUGCCAGUUUCAUCCCUGCCGAUCCUGCUUCAAAAGUGGAAAAACAGUCGAACCAAAGAGCUAAUUGCACACCAGUAGUUGUGUUAAUUAGAGCACAGCUCAGUGAAAAACAGAAAAGGAAUAGCAGGUGCAGCACUGCACUGAUGAAGAUCACAAACCAUUUGAGGGAAAUCAGUACACCAGAAACUGGAAACAAGGUAAAUAGCACAGCUGCUGAUGGAAGAAAGUCAAGUAGACGACUUUCCAAUAGAAUGAAACAACUCACGCCAGAUGUACUGAACAAUGAUAAAGAGGCUGAAUUUGAGCCGCAUAUUACACCACCUAGUAAGACAUACAGCAAAUCACCAAAGAAAUCAGGCGAUGUCCCUGAGGAAGACGAACAGUUUGAUCUUCUGAGGAAAACACCAACAUUUCUGCACAGCAGUUCUGCUACUGGAAAACCAAAGAAGAUAUUAAAUAAAGCUCCUUCCAUUCGUCUCCACCUGUAGCAGCAGAUGACGAGCUGUGCCGACUGGAAACCAGCGAUCAGUGAAGUGUCCGCCAGCCAAGAAACACCUCGUAGCAGAAGACAGCAACGUGUUAUUGGUUCUCCAAAAUGAAGAUGUUAAAUUUUACAACAAUGACUGACAUUGUGUUCAUAUCAAAUGUCUGUAUUUUAAGUAAUUUCACAUUUGUAUGCUGAGAUUUGUAUCUUGUUCAUAUGUUUGUAAAACUGAACUUUCAUGUAAUGGUACCUGUUCUGUAUUUUGUGGCGGGUGUGAGUAUUUUGUAAAUAGCCAUUCCAAAAAUUAUCAGUGACCACAUGUUGCUACGAAGACUAUAAACUUACGGUUAAUCUAUCAAAGAGCAGCAACUGAGAUAAAUUUUUAAUUAUUGCUUGAUUUUAUUUUGAUGUAUAUUAUUUUCAGUUCUGAAUUCAAUAUCUUACUUUUUGUACUGUUUUAAGCAUUCUGUAGUGAACAUAGGAAAAGUCCAAAUGUUAUAAUCUGCAGUGGACCACAGUUAUUCAGAAUUUUUAUGUAUUCAUUUAGUGGAAAUAUUGUUCACAUAGUUGCAUGAUUUUACAUCUACUGUGGAACAUGUUAUUUGUACAUCACUGAAAUGGAUCUGAUUAAAAAUUAUAUA